rnacentral:tRNA from 1 species
GAGGUUGUGGCUCAGUGGUGGAGUGCUUGCCUAGCAUGUAUGGGGCACUGGGUUCAAUUCUCAGCACCACA